rnacentral:rRNA from 1 species
GACGAACGCUGGCGGCGUGCUUAACACAUGCAAGUCGAGCGGUAAGGCCUUUCGGGGUCCACGAGCGGCGAACGGGUGAGUAACACGUGGGUGAUCUGCCCUGCACUUCGGGAUAAGCCUGGGAAACUGGGUCUAAUACCGGAUAUGACCUCCUAUCGCAUGGUGGGUGGUGGAAAGAUUUAUCGGUGCAGGAUGGGCCCGCGGCCUAUCAGCUUGUUGGUGGGGUAAUGGCUUACCAAGGCGACGACGGGUAGCCGACCUGAGAGGGUGACCGGCCACACUGGGACUGAGACACGGCCCAGACUCCUACGGGAGGCAGCAGUGGGGAAUAUUGCACAAUGGGCGAAAGCCUGAUGCAGCGACGCCGCGUGAGGGAUGACGGCCUUCGGGUUGUAAACCUCUUUCAGCAGGGACGAAGCGCAAGUGACGGUACCUGCAGAAGAAGCACCGGCUAACUACGUG